rnacentral:rRNA from 1 species
GACGAACGCUGGCGGCGUGCCUAAUACAUGCAAGUCGAACGCAGUGGGGACGGGUGAGUAACACGUGGGUAACCUUCCAUCAGAGGGGAUAACACUUGGACACAGGUGCUAAACCGAUAUUGAUUGAUGUACCCGCGGUGAAUUAGCGAGUUGGUGGGGGAACGGCUCACCAAGGCCACGAUCCAUAGCGGGCCUGAGAGGGUGAUCGGCCACACUGGGACUGAGACACGGCCCAGACUCCUACGGGAGGCAGCAGUAGGGAAUCUUCGGCAAUGGACGAAAGCCUGACCGAGCAACGCCGCGUGAGUGAAGAAGGUUUUCGGAUCGUAAAACACUGUUGUUAGGGAAGCGGUACCUAAACAGAAAGCAACGGCUAACUACGUGCCAGCCGCCGCGGUAAUUC